GCUUGCACUGAAUGAGAUUUUAACACGAAGUGAGUGGCGGACGGGUGAGUAACACGUGGGUAACCUGCCCAGAAGCAGGGGAUAACACCUGGAAACAGAUGCUAAUACCGUAUAACAGAGAAAACCGCCUGGUUUUCUUUUAAAAGAUGGCUCUGCUAUCACUUCUGGAUGGACCCGCGGCGCAUUAGCUAGUUGGUGAGGUAACGGCUCACCAAGGCGAUGAUGCGUAGCCGACCUGAGAGGGUAAUCGGCCACAUUGGGACUGAGACACGGCCCAGACUCCUACGGGAGGCAGCAGUAGGGAAUCUUCCACAAUGGACGCAAGUCUGAUGGAGCAACGCCGCGUGAGUGAAGAAGGGUUUCGGCUCGUAAAGCUCUGUUGUUAAAGAAGAACGUGGGUGAGAGUAACUGUUCACCCAGUGACGGUAUUUAACCAGAAAGCCACGGCUAACUACGUGCCAGCAGCCGCGGUAAUACGUAGGUGGCAAGCGUUAUCCGGAUUUAUUGGGCGUAAAGCGAGCGCAGGCGGUCUUUUAAGUCUAAUGUGAAAGCCUUCGGCUCAACCGAAGAAGUGCAUUGGAAACUGGGAGACUUGAGUGCAGAAGAGGACAGUGGAACUCCAUGUGUAGCGGUGAAAUGCGUAGAUAUAUGGAAGAACACCAGUGGCGAAGGCGGCUGUCUGGUCUGUAACUGACGCUGAGCUCGAAAGCAUGGGUAGCGAACAGGAUUAGAUACCCUGGUAGUCCAUGCCGUAAACGAUGAUUACUAAGUGUUGGAGGGUUUCCGCCCUUCAGUGCUGCAGCUAACGCAUUAAGUAAUCCGCCUGGGGAGUACGACCGCAAGGUUGAAACUCAAAAGAAUUGACGGGGGCCCGCACAAGCGGUGGAGCAUGUGGUUUAAUUCGAAGCUACGCGAAGAACCUUACCAGGUCUUGACAUCUUCUGCCAACCUAAGAGAUUAGGCGUUCCCUUCGGGGACAGAAUGACAGGUGGUGCAUGGUUGUCGUCAGCUCGUGUCGUGAGAUGUUGGGUUAAGUCCCGCAACGAGCGCAACCCUUAUUACUAGUUGCCAGCAUUCAGUUGGGCACUCUAGUGAGACUGCCGGUGACAAACCGGAGGAAGGUGGGGACGACGUCAAAUCAUCAUGCCCCUUAUGACCUGGGCUACACACGUGCUACAAUGGAUGGUACAACGAGUUGCGAAACCGCGAGGUUUAGCUAAUCUCUUAAAACCAUUCUCAGUUCGGACUGUAGGCUGCAACUCGCCUACACGAAGUCGGAAUCGCUAGUAAUCGCGGAUCAGCAUGCCGCGGUGAAUACGUUCCCGGGCCUUGUACACACCGCCCGUCACACCAUGAGAGUUUGUAACACCCAAAGCCGGUGGGGUAACCUUUUAGGAGCUAGCCGUCUAAG
rnacentral:rRNA from 1 species